GAUGAACGCUGGCGGCGUGCCUAAUACAUGCAAGUCGAGCGAACGGACGAGAAGCUUGCUUUUCUGAUGUUAGCGGCGGACGGGUGAGUAACACGUGGAUAACCUACCUAUAAGACUGGGAUAACUUCGGGAAACCGGAGCUAAUACCGGAUAAUAUUUUGAACCGCAUGGUUCAAAAGUGAAAGACGGUCUUGCUGUCACUUAUAGAUGGAUCCGCGCUGCAUUAGCUAGUUGGUAAGGUAACGGCUUACAAAGGCAACGAUGCAUAGCCGACCUGAGAGGGUGAUCGGCCACACUGGAACUGAGACACGGUCCAGACUCUACGGGAGGCAGCAGUAGGGAAUCUUCCGCAAUGGGCGAAAGCCUGACGGAGCAACGCCGCGUGAGUGAUGAAGGUCUUCGGAUCGUAAAACUCUGUUAUUAGGGAAGAACAUAUGUGUAAGUAACUGUGCACAUCUUGACGGUACCUAAUCAGAAAGCCACGGCUAACUACGUG
rnacentral:rRNA from 1 species